AUGUCACUGUGGAGGUUUGGGUGCCGGGGUCCUGGGCGGUGGGCUCCGCUCCUGAGAUGUUGUCUCCGGGGGUUCGGGAGCCAAAACAAGCAACAAGACUGGAGGACGCGGAACAAGACGGUGCUGACCUACGUGACCGCCGCGGCCGUGGGGAUGGUCGGCAUGUCCUAUGCUGCCGUGCCGCUCUACAGGCUGUACUGUCAGGCCACGGGUCUGGGUGGGACGGCUGUAGCUGGACACAGUUCAGACCAGAUUGAGUCUAUGAAGCCUGUGACGGAUCGGAUCAUCAAGAUCACAUUCAAUGCGGAUGUCCAUGCCGGGCUAAACUGGAACUUCAGACCUCAGCAGACAGAGAUCUACUUAGUUCCGGGUGAAACCGCUUUAGCGUUUUACAAGGCGAAAAAUUCUACAGACAAGCCGGUUAUAGGAAUCUCUACAUACAACGUCAUCCCGUAUGAAGCCGGCCAGUAUUUCAACAAAAUUCAGGAGUAAAAGGAAGAACAAAAGCACCGCCGGUACAACUACUUUCUCCUGCAGAGGAUUAUGGUAAAUUAUUGUGAGUAAAGAUGUGUUAUUCCCAUUGCUGGAGCUAGAGGGCGCUGUGAGAUGUUCAGAAACUCCGAGGCUUAACAAUAGAGUUGAGGAAAUACUCUCUCAACCAAUCACUGGUGGGUCACCGCAUGGAUGUAUGUUUGGAGGAAAGUACUAAGUGCGGAUCGGACUCCAUUGGGGCAGUGCUGGGGGUCCAGGCAGGUCAUCCACGAGUCCCACAUGGAAAACCUGGUAGGAGCGGAUACUUGGAAAGUAGAUGACUUUGACCCAGGACAGGGGAAGACUCACAAAGUAACACCGAAAAGUCGCGGAACGCUAUCGUUGGGGAACGAUGACAAAAAAGAAAGGUCUAUACAAAUAGUAAUGGCUCUAAGUAUAAAUCUAACUUCCGAAGAAUCAUAUUAUGAAGAACUGAACAAGGACGGACAUUGGCUACAAGUUUCCCCGAGAACAAGUGAGUGCCGCCCUCCUGAACCGGGCCCUGAAUGAAUAUGAUAUAAAUACAUGAUCCACUAUAUGCACAGGAUAUGAUAUAUGGAGUGUAGAAUAUGUGUACAGUACUUCACUGAUGUAUUUUCACGCUUUGAAUAUGUAUGAUCACUGAUAUUUGAGUAUCCUUGUAAUUUAUUUUGACAUUUGAGUGACCCCCCCUCAUCUGAAUGUGUAAUUGGAGGCCUAUGUGGUGCUCUGAGACGUCUGGACUGGACUUGACCUCAGGAUCUAAAAGCAAUGAAUCAGCUGCAGGAGAGCCCUUAGGGCACAGAGGGACUCAACCUGACAGGGCUGGGACAUCACACCUAUAUAUAUGUAAUCCACUGCACAGAGUGUUAUGCUUGAGAAAGGCUCUAGUGAGGAGCCAAAACGUUGCUUUUUUUCUGUGAAACAGCUGGAAUUUUACUCUUAAUGCAUUACAGUACAAUACAUAUACUUGAAUGUAGCUUGAACCAGUAGAGCAUUGGUGGUACAAUUUAGGAUUAAAGAGGUACUCCGGUGGAAAACAUUCAACAUCAACUGGUGGCAGAAAGUUAAACAGAUUUGUAAAUUUCUUCUAUUUACAAAUCUUAACCCUUCCAGUACUUAUCAGCUGCUGUAUACUACAGAGGAAGUUGUGUAGUUUCUUUUCUGUCUGACCACAGUGCUCUCUGCUGCCACCUCUGUCCAUGUCAGUAACUGUCCAGAGUAGGAGCAAAUACCCAUAGCAAACCUCUUGUGCUCAUGAGACACGCCUCCUACAUAUACAUGGGACAUCACGAGGGUGUGUGGUGGUGACAUCACGACCACUGCCGCAGGAACCGGGCAAUUAUUUAGAAUGCUGGGUGCAGCAGUAGACCGUGGGAAUAAGAUGUCUAGCAGCGGAGUACCCCUUUUAAGACACCCCAGCGUGGGUAAUAUAUUCCGCUGGCAGAUUGUGUUAAUCGUAGUUAACGCCGGUAAAUGCCAUUGCAGACACAGCGUGGCCCCUGACCGGGCUUUAAACGUUUCAGCCUUGAAUGCCGAUUCCCUGUAGAGGACUUCAGAUACAAGUCAACAUGUGUUUGGCCUUCUUCAAAACAAUAUGUGGAGUUUCCUCUUGGACGUCGGCCUAAAUCCCUAAUACUGGAUAAUGCUCUUUGGUGCCUGCGUAUCGGAUACACUACAUGGUUUGCCAAGAAUCAGAAGGGAGAAAUUGACAUGAAUUCAUCUGGCCCCCGUUCUGCCUGACAGCCCCACCAGCUGUGCGCCAUGCCAUAUUUUUAAUAAACAGACUUAGCUGGAAAAGCUCACAAACGCCUGACGGAUUAUACGCGCGCGCGCCGUCUGCGCUCAGACAUUUCAUUCCCACGUAUUACCAAAAACUGCUUUCACAACUGUACAUUGUGUUUGGUAUCAGGAUGGAUCUUUGUUGCCAUAUUUCAUCUUUUAUUUCUACACCUGUCUUCUGCCUAAAAUACAACUUUGGAAAACAAUGGUCUUGUA